AACUCAGAAAUCUACCCGCUUCUGCCUCCCAAGUGCUGGGAUUAAAGGUGUGCGCCACCACCACCCGCCUCUGCCAAAUCUUUUCUAAGGCAGGGUUUUGCUGUUUAGGCUAGUUUGGCCUCAAAUUUGUGACCCUCCUGCCCUAUCCUUCUGAAUUAGCCACCACACCCAGCUUGGGCUCUAAGGAUUUUAAGAAUGUUUUCUUUGAUUUAACUGGGAUCAUACACACCUCUUUCAAAAAUGCCGCAAUUAUUUCCCCUACUCAAUGUCAGCACCUAGAAAGGCCGGGAUUCUUUCCCUACCACAGAGCCUGGACCAAAGACCCCAGGGAGCUUACAAGCCCAGGCCCUCCCUGACAGCUGGCAGCAGGCUGCUUGCCCCUUCUUGUUCCAGGUCAUCCGUCCCUGCCUGUUUUCAAUGGAAGGUCUGCCAGGGACAGCAAAUGGAGACACCUCUAUCCACGGGAACUGCAGGAGUGGAAGAAAAAUAAACAAGGAAGAACGUUCCAGAGCUAUGGAGGCAAAGUGUGGACAGAGGACAGCGGCAUGUGGGGAGCUCACACACCAAGGGCAAAUGGACAGAGGCACACUGGAGCCACUGGGUACAGUGCUGUCAGAGGACUGCCACAGUUAGUCUGAUGGUUUCUAGGACAGCAGCUCCCCCUUCUGUGGAGUGAUCACAGCACAUAAGGCCAGACUGCUUACUGAGGUCUGCAUCUGGCUGUCACUGCCUUCCCUCCCAGCUUUCACGCACCACAGCAUGCCUGCCUGCCCGCCCUCUCCGAGCCCUCACCUUUAUGCCUGCUCCUCUCACCACACUGUGGCUCCAAGCACAGGCCUCGCCAUUCUGUAGUCAACGACAUCGGCUGACCAGCCUGGGAAGUGAGUAGAGGCACCUGAUGCUACCAAUCGCAGGCACCCAGCACUACUUUAACCCUCAUCAAACGAAAGAGGCAGAUUUCAUGAUGAUGCUCAUUUCCCAGAGAAGAGAAACCGAGGCUCUGGUCUGGUGUUGUGAAGUCAUCCAUGGUAAAAGGCCUACUGAAGUGUUGAGAGACACACCAGAGGUUGGGCAUUGUGGCUUGUGCUUGGGAGGCUAAGGCAGGAGGAUCACAGAGAAUCUGAGAGGAGCCUGGAAUACCGGGCAUUGCAGGCCAGCCUGGGCUUCAGCCUGUGAGACUCUCUCAAAAACAAAACAGCUGGGAGUAGUGGUGCACACCUUCAAUCCCAGCAGAGGCAGACAGACCUGCUGUACAGAUGAGUUCCAGAACAGCCAGGGCUACAGAUACAGGCUGUCUUGCAGGACACACACACACACACACACACACACACACACACACACACACAGUAGAACAGAGCAACUGUUUUAGCAAACUACCAAUUGAGUUUCUGAGUGUUCACGUAGUUGCAUGCAUGUGUGUGUUGCCUGCACGUGUGUACAUGGAAGUCAGAGAUAGGAGUCUGGGACCCUCCUACAUUGCUUUCCACCUGAUUGUCUGAGAUAAGGUCUUUCAUUGAACCUGGAGCUCUAAGGCUCUCAGUCUACAUCCUGCCCUAUGCUGAAGUCAAAGAGUCUGCAUCUCAGUUUAACUUCUAAUACCAAUAUAUACAAUGAACAGAAGCUCCUUGGGAUCUGCAUUUCUAAGUUGUCUCAUGAAACCAAAUGUUUUGAGAACCUCUACAUAACCAGUUAAAAUUAGAUCCUUAAAAGUAGAGAGCGCCAUCUAGUGGGUAGACGGCCA